GGUAUUGUUUUGCCCCAUGAUAAGCCCCGGAAAGUUUAUUAUGUUGCCAAACACAACAA
rfam:Catellicoccus marimammalium M35/04/3 contig00105, whole genome shotgun sequence.